UACAGAGGUCUCAAGCGUUGUUCGGAUUCACUGGGCGUAAAGGGUGCGUAGGUGGUGAGGUAAGUCUGAUGUGAAAUCUCCGAGCUCAACUCGGAAAUGGCAUCGGAAACUACCUCGCUCGAGGUUUGGAGGGGGGACUGGAAUUCUCGGUGUAGCAGUGAAAUGCGUAGAUAUCGGGAGGAACACCUGAGAUGUAGAUGGCUUACUGGACCGUAACUGACGCUGAGGCACGAAAGCGUGGGUAGCAAACAGG
rnacentral:rRNA from 1 species